GGCCUGGUUUCCUGUUUGCGUCCGGGCCUCCAGCACCCGAGGCAGGUGCGCUGGCUCAGCCUCGCUUUGACCUCACAGAGCCCCUUGCGUGAGGCCAGCAGCUCCCGGCUUGGGGACAACAGCGGUCCCCGGUCUCCCGGCAGCCCUUGCGAGGGACACCGAGGCCAGUGCCCAAGCCUUCAGGCCCUGCUUCCUGCAUGUCUCCUGCUGGCGGCCAGACAGACCCUGGCUGGCAAGGCCGAGGAAGUCCCCGGGGCUCCAAAGCAUAAGUAGCUGCCUGAUGACCGUGACAUUCCCGGAGGAAGAGGCCUUGACUUGACCCAGGGGAGCUGAUGGAAUCGCCUCUGGCGUGGAGAACUCAAGGGAAAAAAACAACAGGCAGAGGACGGAGCAGUGGCACCAGGAACAUCGGGUGUCUGGGGCUGAUGUUCUGGAAGCCCGCUGUCAGUGAGGCACUCCCUGCGCCCACAGGUGGGGCCGCUCGCCACCCCGCCUUCCCUCACCCCCUUUGAGGGUCUGCUUCUGUGCCUUCUGGGCCUGGGCUCCUGCUGCGCUGGCCUGGCCUGCCCCUACCUGCUCUCUCUCCUCCUUCGGCACCUCCAGUGCACCUGCUGGGCCUGGUGGCACCAGGCAGACCUGGGGUUUGGAUGGGGUCAGCCUGGCCCCGGUGCCGCCUGGUUCACACAAUGUCAGAGACCCGGGGCCCGCACAGGCAUGGGGAGAACCACGCCGAGGGGGGGGGGCACCUGGGUGGCUCAGUCCGUUAAGCAGGCGACUCCUGAUUUCGGGUCAGGUCAUGAU